rnacentral:rRNA from 1 species
GUUCGGAAUUACUGGGCGUAAAGCGCGCGUAGGCGGAUUAGUCAGUUAGAGGUGAAAUCCCAGGGCUCAACCCUGGAACUGCCUUUAAUACUGCUAGUCUUGAGUUCGAGAGAGGUGAGUGGAAUUCCGAGUGUAGAGGUGAAAUUCGUAGAUAUUCGGAGGAACACCAGUGGCGAAGGCGGCUCACUGGCUCGAUACUGACGCUGAGGUGCGAAAGUGUGGGGAGCAAACAGGAUUAGAUACCCUGGUAGUCCACACCGUAAACGAUGAAUGCCAGUCGUCGGGUAGUAUACUAUUCGGUGACACACCUAACGGAUUAAGCAUUCCGCCUGGGGAGUACGGUCGCAAGAUUAAAACUCAAAGGAAUUGACGGGGGCCCGCACAAGCGGUGGAGCAUGUGGUUUAAUUCGAUGCAACGCGAAGAACCUUACCUACUCUUGACAUACUAGAAACUUUUCAGAGAUGAAUUGGUGCCUUCGGGAAUCUAGAUACAGGUGCUGCAUGGCU